rnacentral:tRNA from 1 species
GGAGAGGUGUCCGAGUGGUCGAAGGAGCAGCACUGGAAAUGCUGUGCAUGGGUAACUGUGCCGAGGGUUCGAAUCCCUCCCUCUCCGCCA